GUUUCUUGGCUGUGCUGUGAAGAAGGAGUCAGUGCUGUGAGGAACUGCCUAUGAGAAAUCACUGAGAAGGUAGAGCAUAAUGAGAACAGAAAAUAGUACAAUAUUAAUCCAUCCUUGUGACAAACCUUGCAAGAAGCUGAGGAAACUGCUAGCAGCUUAUCUUAGAACGUCACUUCCAUGAUGCAAGACCAGCACACUACCUUAAAAUGGAAAGGUUUAUGUGAAAAUAGGAAGGCUGGUUCUUACUGGCUAAGUUUGUGUCACCAGAUCUAAAAGCAUUUUCCUUCUUUUGCUUCAGGUAUAUGACCUGGUUUUAUCAAGGUAAAUGAAGGUGUAUCCCCCACCCCACUGCACACUGCAGUCCCCUGCCCCAUUACCCAUCAAUGGAAAUGGCACCACAGAUGUGGUAUUUUUGAAAAUCAGAUCCCUUGACUGAUACUGGUUAUAUGUCUAAUAGGUAAAGCAUUUUAAUGAUUCUGUUAUUAAAGUUCAGAGACAGACCUUUUAUCAAGCAUGCCGGAGCUUUCAUCAUGUUUGGCUAAGAUACUCUUUGAUUGCACUGAACAUUAUUUUUAAGAAGGCUCCCCUUUGCCACAUUCAUGAAUUUCCUAUGAUCCACAGAACAGGAGUAUUUGAGAUAAGCCUACAUAUAGGCUACACAUACAGAAAAUCCACCUAUUUUCAUUUCUUUUAUGCUUUGCCUUCUUUCAUAAAGUGGUGGUCAAGUAAUUGGAAAGUAUACAUAGCUGAAGAUCUUUAAUUACUUCCUGAUAAAUAACUUAUUUUUUAAAAUUUUGCUAUCCUAUUUCAAAAAGACUGCA